rnacentral:rRNA from 1 species
GACGUAGGGCGCGAGCGUUGUCCGGAUUUAUUGGGCGUAAAGAGCGUGUAGGCGGCCCGGUAAGUCCGCUGUGAAAGUCGGGGGCUCAACCCUCGAAUGCCGGUGGAUACUGUCGGGCUAGAGUGCGGAAGAGGCGAGUGGAAUUCCUGGUGUAGCGGUGAAAUGCGCAGAUAUCAGGAGGAACACCAAUUGCGAAGGCAGCUCGCUGGGACGUAACUGACGCUGAGGCGCGAAAGCGUGGGGAGCGAACAGG